rnacentral:rRNA from 1 species
GAUGAACGCUAGCGGCAGGCCUUACACAUGCAAGUCGAGGGGUAGCAGGAUUAAGCUUGCUUAAUUGCCGACGACCGGCGCACGGGUGCGUAACGCGUAUGCAACCUACCUUAUACUGGGGUAUAGCCCGGAGAAAUUCGGAUUAAUCCCCCAUAGUACUAAUGAAUCGCAUGGUUUAUUAGUUAAAGCAUUGCGGUAUAAGAUGGGCAUGCGUCCUAUUAGCUAGAUGGUGAGGUAACGGCUCACCAUGGCUACGAUAGGUAGGGGGCCUGAGAGGGUGGUCCCCCACACUGGUACUGAGACACGGACCAGACUCCUACGGGAGGCAGCAGUGAGGAAUAUUGGUCAAUGGGCGCAAGCCUGAACCAGCCAUGCCGCGUGCAGGAAGAAUGCCCUAUGGGUUGUAAACUGCUUUUAUUUGGGAAUAAACCUCUUUACGUGUAGAGAGCUGAAGGUACCAAAUGAAUAAGCACCGGCUAACUCCGUGCCAGCAGCCGCCGUAA